CCUACGGGAGGCAGCAGUAGGGAAUAUUGCUCAAUGGGCGAAACCCUGAAGCAGCAACGCAGCGUGGAGGAUGAAGGUUCUCGGAUUGUUAACUCCUUUUGUUAUAGAAGAUAAUGGCUGUAUCUAACGAAUAAGCACCGGCUAACUCCGUGCCAGCAGCCGCGGUAAUACGGAGGGUGCAAGCGUUACUCGGAAUCACUGGGCGUAAAGAGCGCGUAGGCGGGAUAGCAAGUCAGAUGUGAAAUCCUAUGGCUUAACCAUAGAACUGCAUUUGAAACUGUUAGUCUAGAGUAUGGGAGAGGUAGGUGGAAUUCGUGGUGUAGGGGUAAAAUCCGUAGAGAUCAAGAGGAAUACUCAUUGCGAAGGCGAUCUGCUAGAAUAUAACUGACGCUGAUGCGCGAAAGUGUGGGGAGCAAACAGGAUUAGAUACCCUUGUAGUC
rnacentral:rRNA from 1 species